rfam:Eutrema salsugineum unplaced genomic scaffold scaffold_3, whole genome shotgun sequence.
AUACUUACCUGGACGGGGUCAACAAUCGAUCAAGAAGAACUGUGGCCUAGGUUAGUGACUUCCAUUGCACUCUUCGGAAGUGUGCUUUAGCCUAAGGUCUCCCCAAUUGGGAGAGCCUGCGUCGUUAUUUGUUGUGUGGGGGUCUGUGUUCGCGCGGCCACUCC